UAACAUUUUAUUGAGAGGGAUUGAUUUGCCAACGUAAAUCCAGCUGCUUGUUGGGGAAAGUUAGCUGCCUGCUCUCCAAUGCUCCUGUAAAGUAGCUGUCUGGCAAAGGGAUCUGGACACACCUCCUUGGGAAUGAGAAGAGAGAAGGGCUCACACUUGGAAAGAGGUUUUCUUCCCAUUGUGUACUGCCAGAGUUAGUCCACAAAAUGCUAGAGGCAAACCUUCCGGUCACUUUGUGAAUAAGAUGCUUGCUUCUCCUUUGCCUUCUGCAAUGACUGUAAGUUUCCUGAUGCCUCCCCAGCCAUGUGGAACUGUGAGUCAAUUAAACCUCUUUUCUUUAUUAAUUACC
rnacentral:lncRNA from 1 species